rnacentral:rRNA from 1 species
CAUGCCGCGUGUGUGAAGAAGGCCUUCGGGUUGUAAAGCACUUUCAGCGAGGAGGAAAGGUUAGUAGUUAAUAACUGCUAGCUGUGACGUUACUCGCAGAAGAAGCACCGGCUAAUUUAGUGCCAGCAGCCGCGGUAAUACUAAAGGUGCAAGCGUUAAUCGGAAUUACUGGGCGUAAAGCGCGCGUAGGUGGUUUGUUAAGUUGGAUGUGAAAGCCCAGGGCUCAACCUUGGAACUGCAUUCAAAACUGACUCACUAGAGUACGAGAGAGGUUAGUGGAAUUUCCUGUGUAGCGGUGAAAUGCGUAGAGAUGGGAAGGAACACCAGUGGCGAAGGCGACUGACUGGCUCGAUACUGACACUGAGGUGCGAAAGCGUGGGGAGCAAACGGGAUUAGAUACCCCGGUAGUCCACGCCGUAAACGAUGUCUACUAGCCGUUGGAGGACUUGAUCCUUUAGUGGCGCAGCUAACGCGAUAAGUAGACCGCCUGGGGAGUACGGUCGCAAGAUUAAAACUCAAAUGAAUUGACGGGGGCCCGCACAAGCGGUGGAGCAUGUGGUUUAAUUCGAAGCAACGCGAAGAACCUUACCUACUCUUGACAUCCAGUGAACUUGCUAGAGAUAGCUUGGUGCCUUCGGGAACACUGAGACAGGUGCUGCAUGGCUGUCGUCAGCUCGUGUUGUGAAAUGUUGGGUUAAGUCCCGUAACGAGCGCAACCCUUGUCCUUAGUUACCAUCAUUUAGUUGGGGACUCUAAGGAGACUGCCGGUGACAAACCGGAGGAAGGCGGGGACGACGUCAAGUCAUCAUGGCCCUUACGAGUAGGGCUACACACGUGCUACAAUGGCAUGUACAAAGGGUUGCCAAGCCGCGAGGUGGAGCUAAUCCCAUAAAGCAUGUCGUAGUCCGGAUUGGAGUCUGCAACUCGACUCCAUGAAGUCGGAAUCGCUAGUAAUCGUGAAUCAGAAUGUCACGGUGAAUACGUUCCCGGGCCUUGUACACACCGCCCGUCACACCAUGGGAGUGGGUUGCUCCAGAAGUAGAUAGCUUAACCUUCG